UAUUAGUAAUAGUUAAGUUCUUGAAAUUUAAAAAAUUUGGCGGUAUUUUAGUCUUUUCAGAGGAACCUGUUUUUUAAUCGAUAAUCCACGAUGGAUCUUACUUAAAUUUGUUUUUAUAGUUUAUAUAUCGUCGUUUAUUGAAUAUUUUAUAAAAAUAAUAAUUUUCUUAAUUUUUAAUUUUAAAGUAUAUCAGAUCAAGAUGUAGCUUAUAUUUAAGUUUAUAAUGGGUUACAUUUGUUUUAAUAAUGGAGAUAAGUUUGUAAAUUUAUUUAUUGAAACUGGAUUUGAUAGUAAAUUUAUAAAGAUAGAUAAUUUGAUUUUAGCUCUAAAAUAUG
rnacentral:rRNA from 1 species